rnacentral:siRNA from 1 species
UCAAAACGUGGCAAGAAAAGAUGC